rnacentral:rRNA from 1 species
AACGUAGGAGACAAACGUUAUCCGGAGUUACUGGGCGUAAAGGGCGUGUAGGCGGUUUGUUAAGUCUGGCGUGAAAGCUCUCGGCUAAACCGGGAGAGGUCGUUGGAUACUGGCAGACUAGAGGACGGUAGAGGCGUGUGGAAUUCCGGGUGUAGUGGUGAAAUGCGUAGAGAUCCGGAGGAACACCAGUGGCGAAGGCGGCUCACUGGACCGGAACUGACGCUGAGGAGCGAAAGCAUGGGGAGCGAACAGG